rnacentral:misc_RNA from 1 species
CACCACUCAAGCCUCGCUUGGUAUUGGGCGACGCGGUCCGCCGCGCGCCUCAAAUCGACCGGCUGGGUCUUCUGUCCCCUCAGCGUUGUGGAAACUAUUCGCUAAAGGGGGCCAUGGGAGGUCACGCCGUAAAACAAGCCCAUUUCUAA